GAUGAACGCUGGCUACAGGCUUAACACAUGCAAGUCGAGGGGAAACGACGGGGAAGCUUGCUUCCCCGGGCGUCGACCGGCGCACGGGUGAGUAACGCGUAUCCAACCUGCCUCUGACUGAGGGAUAACCCGUCGAAAGUCGGCCUAAUACCUCAUGGCAUCGUCUGCGGGCAUCCAACGACGAUUAAAGAUUUCAUCGGUCAGAGAUGGGGAUGCGUCUGAUUAGCUUGUUGGCGGGGUAACGGCCCACCAAGGCGACGAUCAGUAGGGGUUCUGAGAGGAAGGUCCCCCACAUUGGAACUGAGACACGGUCCAAACUCCUACGGGAGGCAGCAGUGAGGAAUAUUGGUCAAUGGGCGAGAGCCUGAACCAGCCAAGUAGCGUGCAGGAGGACGGCCCUAUGGGUUGUAAACUGCUUUUAGGCGGGGAUAAAGUGAGGGACGUGUCCUUCAUUGCAGGUACCGCAUGAAUAAGGACCGGCUAAUUCCGUG
rnacentral:rRNA from 1 species